UGCCUCUCCAAAAUGGACAAAAUGUGAGAAUAAGUCCAAAUCCAAACUCACAAAACCCAGGAAAGUGGACACCAGGUAUUGUCGUAGAAAAACACGACAAGCCCAGAUCUUUCGUAGUGCAGAGUGGAAACCGCCUGUACCGACAUAACCGAAAACACCUACGACUAGCUACUGAAGGUGCAAACAACACGGCACAGUGGUCCAGACCAGACGACACACCAACGCAGACAACUGCGGAAACGCCAUCUUCUGCUCCGAACAGCCCAGCGCCAAAUCCCAAAGUGCCAGACAAACCAACGUGUACUAGUGAAUACCGUACCCGCUCUGGCAGAUCAGUGAACAAACCUCAAAAGCUUGAUUUAUAGGCAAUGACAUUGACAUUUCAACAGCAUUGUGUCAUUAAUGUGCCAGUCAGGUAUAAUAAUUACAUCCUGUUAGAUCACACAAGUGUCAUAGUGUUAAGGGGCAGAAUAAUCCCCAGUGUGACACAAAGUUAGAUUUACAUAUGUUUAAUUACUUUAAGACAAAAACUUAUUACAGAUCAUUUGAGACAUUUGGUAAAAAGAGUUGCUUCCCUUAGACUAGCAUAUCAUCAUACAUCUACAGUGAAAUCAAAUCGACAAUGCUUGCAAAGCAAAAGUUGAACAUUCACAUGUGUGUAUCAUUUAGGAAACUUGAGACACUUACUAGCUUUAGUUAAAGAAACCUAAAUAUAAAAUUGCAUCUAGUCAGUUAACUUAGUCAAAUUCAAUUAUAUAUGUCAUACCAUCUAGUCAUACUUAAUAAUGUUUAUAGCCAGUUUCUACAUUUCUUAUUUUGUAAAGAAAGAGGGAUGUAACGUUAUUGGCUAUUUAUAACUUGUUAAUGUGCUAAACGGCACACACUGUAUUUUUGUAUUAUCAACGUUGUAAGCAUCUGUGACGUAAUAAAAGAUGAAGGCUCACUACCAUUGAUAUCGUUACAGUGACUACUUACAAUAGAGUUUUCAAACGAAUUUAGUUUGUUCUUUAUUUUGGAGUCCUACACACGCUGUCACAGAACAAAACAAGGACUAUGAAUGCGACUGACUCUAACGUCUAUGUGUAUAAUGAAUUCCGUCAAUGAAGCCUUUGAAAAAAAGAGGGCCAUACCCCAGUCUUUGCCUGUGGGAAUGUGGUGUAUCACAGGAGGUCAGAUGGCAUUCCAUGAUGGAAUAACAAGGCUUACCAAAUUCAGCAGGUCAAAAGUGCUCUCCAUCCACAGACAGUAUAUGGCAGACUAGGAACAAGAAAUGCCAUUACAUGUAAUAGCGGUUUGGUUGUGCAUGAACAGCAAAUGCAUCCGGUGCUGGUUUGUUAACAUGCAGGGGCUGCCACUGUCUUCCUUUAGGAUAACAAGGAUGUCAGUUUCCAGCAAAAUAAUCCAGGAAGAACCCCAGGUCUUACUGUUCAAGACGCAAUGAGGUUGUGACCAUCAGGCUCAAAGCUGUGGAGAAAGAUGUCUGGCCGGGAGACAUACUGAUGUUAUGCUUUACUGAUGUUGUUGCCAACACCUACAAACCAUUCACUACAACUACCACAACGAACAAUGUACUGAUAAUGCAGAAAAUCUGAGCUACCUUUGUGAAAGAGGCCAAGAGAGGAUUGGAUGGUGGAGUUUCAGAUGACACAAUGCUGACUGUUUCCACCCAGCUGAUUUUGCUUUCUACAGGCAACAGAAGGAAGUCUUCACUUUUAUUUUAAACAAUUCAGUUUUAAUGCCACCAAUUUGUCAAGAUAACAUGUAACUGAACAGAUUGAAAUUACACCAACAUCCUUCAUUAACACAAACUAUCUGUGUACCUGGACCAUCAGCUUGAACAGUAUACUACUUCAACUACCAUUUCUUCAUAUUCAAACAUUACUAGAAAGGUCUGAAAGGCAAUCAUACUAAAUGAAGAAUGAUAAACUCCUGUGUUAUAAAUUCUGUUGCAACUUGAGAUGACCAGUAUGUACAGACAGUGCCAAAUUUAUUGCAUUUAUUACUUGUGUCUUAUCUGACAGUGCUCUAUGCAUAGAUAUUGUACUUGAAGUUAACUAUGAUUUUAUUAAGAUGCGAUUUUUCACUCUGUAUUGAUGUUCACAUACUUCAAUUUCUGUUGCCAUACCAGUGUCACUAACAGAUAAUCUAGAUGAAUUUGUUUUUAUUUAUUUCUACCACUGUUGUCUAUGAACAUUUUCAUAUCAUAUAGUUAGUACACUUCAUUAUAUACAGGGCAGCAAUGUCUUAUUUCUGAUAACAACUCAGCAAUAAGCCUCUUGACAUUUCUGCUUUGAAUUGUCUAUAUAUUUUUCAUUUCUUUCUAAGUUUGAAAUCUAAUCACUGUUAAAAAAACAGCCUCUACUUAUGGCUGCCUAGAAAUGCCUUACAAAUUGAUAAUUAAUUAAAAUAACAAUAACCUAAUGCCCUUAUGGAAACAUAUUCCAAACAUUCCUUAACAGCUAUGAAAUUAUUUUUGGACAAACCUUUUUGCAGUUUACAGCCUUAAACAAAUCAAGAUUUUCCCCCAACCAAAUGCACUGCUUAACCUAUAAAUAAAUGAUUUUUAGCUCGACUAUUCGAAGAAUAGGUGGGCUAUACUACUCGUCCCAGCGUCGGCGUCCGGUUAAAGUUAUUAAGUUGUUCAGGGCCAUCACAUGAUGAGGUUAGUUAACUCCAUAUUAUUCUUUAAACAGAUUAUGGCCCCUGAUUGACUAUGGAACUUAGGUAAAAGUUUUAGGGCAAGUUGGAAUAUUUAUUAAUAACUUCUAUAUCCUUUGUUCAAUUGACUUAAUACUUCACACAGUUGUUCAGGACCAUCACACAAUGAGGUUACAUAACUCCAUAUUAUCCUAAAUACAAGUUAUGGCCCCUGAUUGACUUAGGUAAAAGUUUUAGGGCAAGUUAAAGUUUUAGGGCAAGUUGGGAUUUUCACUGAAAACUCCAAUACCAUUCAUUCAAUUGACUUAAUACUUCACACAGUUGUUCAGAGCCAUCACAUAAUGAGGUUAGAUAACUCCAUAUUAUUCUUUACACAGAUUAUGGCCCCUGAUUGACUAUGGAACUUAGGUUAAAGUUUUAGGGCAGGUUGGGAUAUUGUUUAAUAACUUCUAUACCCUUCAUUCAAUUGACUUAAUACUUCACAAAAUUGUUCAGGACCAUCACACAAUGAGGUUUCAUAACUCCAUAUCCUUAAUACAAGUUAUGGGCCCCUGAUUGGCUUAGGUUAAAGUUUUAGGCAAGUAAAAGUUAAGGGCAAGUUGGGAUUUUAAUAAAAAAAACUUCUAUACCGUUCAUUAAAUGCACUUAAUAAAAUUCAAAAUUAUUUACGUCCAUCUUACAACAAGAAACAUAACUCCAUUUUAAGCCUUAAUACAAAUUAUGUCCCUUGAUUUCCUUUUUAACCACAUUUUCAAAAUUGGAAAUCAAGUUAUUUAAAUGACUUGCGUCAUUGUUUGGGCGGGCUGGUGGGAGGGCAGCAUAAAAGUCACCUUAUGUAUCGAAUAAUUUGAGUAAGGUUUGACAUAAAGAGACCAAACUUGAUAUUAUUACAUCGUUAUUGUAUUCUAAGUCAAAGCGGCGUAGUCGAGCGCGCUGUCUUACGACAGCUCUUGUUGACAUAUUGUAAUCAUUUUCACUCAUUGCAUAUUUUCUGCUACAAUGUUAUAGCGUUUUCAUGUGUAUCAUUUAGAUUCAUUGUUUUCACAUUAUUACUUCACUCAUGAUUCAGUGCUUAUCUCAUUUUAUGUAAAUUUCUUCUUGUUCAAUUGUAAAUAAUGACAAAUGCUGCUCAAAAGAGUGUGAUAAUGGAUAUACUCUUCCUGUCAUUUAUGUUAUUUGAUAAUUGUCAGCUGCGUCAUCUUCCAUGAAUUGCAUUACUUUCUCUUUGCCUCAGAUUUAAUAGUAUGUGUGGUGGUUUUAUGUUGUUGCUAUUAGAACAGGAGUUAUUUGAAUAAGCCAAAUAUCCUGUACAUUAUCAUUUCGCCAAAGUAGUUCAUCAUAGAUUCAUAUAACACUACAGACUGGUUAAUUGUAAUGGUAAACAAUUUUUCAAUUCUUUUGAAAGAAAUCCAUCCUUUGAUAUAGCCUUCAUAUUACACCAUUGUUUCCUAGAGCUUUACCUUGCAUUUUUGUCAUUCAGGCAUGGUUGAAAUACAUUUCAAGGACUAGACACCAGAUGAUACCAUUGCAAGAUGAAAAAUAACUGUCCAAAACUUUAAUGUAAUUCAUAUCUUAGUGUACAUUUUAAUUGAGUUUUUGGACCGAGUAAAUUCCAUUUCUUUAAAAAAAAGCUUCUGAGUGUGUCUUGUAAAACUCACAGGACCCCUACAUGCUAUUCUUUAGUGUAUAUACAUAGCUGAGACAGGGAUAGAAAUAUUAUUUUUUCAUUUAAAAUAUUGCAUUUUUUUACCUCAUACUAGCCCUUAUUCAUAAGUUCAGUCUGUUUUAAGGAAAAAUUGAACUUGCUGAUUUUGGUACUUUUGGUUCACCCCCAAUUGAUCUAAUAAACCCUGGUAUAAUAUUGAUAAUUAUGGAGAAAUAAAGACAUACUUUAUAAGUAAUAUUAAUUGGACUCAACUUCAGACCUAUUCAAAUUAUGAAAUAAAAUACUGCAUAAUAACUUUUAUUAAAUCAUAGACCAACUAUAAAAACGCACAAAAGAGAAUGUUUCCUUUUCAUAUACCUUGUUCUUUUUUUCUGAAAUUGAACUGCUGGUGUUAAGGCAUUGGUCUAAAACAGGUGUUGUUGACUGUUGAUAUGUAAAUUUAACCAGCUUCUAUAACAAUAUCAUAUGCAUACACCACUGUCAGCAUUUUAACUGCUACAGCUUAUGAAGAACCUCCAAUAGCUAUACUCUUAUAUUAGCUGCCAUUUAUAAAUCAUAUUCAACAUUUUAUUGUUUUAAUCUAUUUUGGAUUACAUUUUUCCUUUGAAAUUCAUUAAAACAUUUACAACCUA